rnacentral:ncRNA from 1 species
CGCAGCGCGUGCUUCAUGAUCACGGUCUUGUAGGGCAGGCCCUUGAGGAUCGCGGUCCGGAUGUAAUGGGUCGUCAUCACCUCGGCCAUCGAGGCCCGUGUCAUGCGCGCGACAUAGCCGAAAUCGUAAAGCACGAGGACCAUCGUCGGCAGGAUCAUCUCCUGGAUGUUCCAGCCGCGUGA